UACAUAUGUUGAUGAAUCCUUUA
rnacentral:siRNA from 1 species